rnacentral:rRNA from 1 species
AGAGUUUGAUCCUGGCUCAGGAUGAACGCUGGCGGCGUGCCUAACACAUGCAAGUCGAACGGACUUACAUUGAAGCCUAGCGAUAUGUAAGUUAGUGGCGGACGGGUGAGUAACGCGUGGGUAACCUGCCUUGUACUGGGGGACAACAGUUGGAAACGACUGCUAAUACCGCAUAAGCGCACAGCUUCGCAUGAAGCAGUGUGAAAAACUCCGGUGGUACAAGAUGGACCCGCGUCUGAUUAGCUGGUUGGUGAGGUAACGGCCCACCAAGGCGACGAUCAGUAGCCGGCCUGAGAGGGUGAACGGCCACAUUGGGACUGAGACACGGCCCAAACUCCUACGGGAGGCAGCAGUGGGGAAUAUUGCACAAUGGGGGAAACCCUGAUGCAGCAACGCCGCGUGAGUGAAGAAGUAUUUCGGUAUGUAAAGCUCUAUCAGCAGGAAAGAAAAUGACGGUACCUGACUAAGAAGCCCCGGCUAACUACGUGCCAGCAGCCGCGGUAAUACGUAGGGGGCAAGCGUUAUCCGGAUUUACUGGGUGUAAAGGGAGCGUAGACGGUUUUGCAAGUCCGAAGUGAAAGCCCGGGGCUUAACCCCGGGACUGCUUUGGAAACUGUAGGACUAGAGUGCAGGAGAGGUAAGUGGAAUUCCUAGUGUAGCGGUGAAAUGCGUAGAUAUUAGGAGGAACACCAGUGGCGAAGGCGGCUUACUGGACUGUAACUGACGUUGAGGCUCGAAAGCGUGGGGAGCAAACAGGAUUAGAUACCCUGGUAGUCCACGCCGUAAACGAUGAUUACUAGGUGUUGGGUGGGUAUGACCCAUCGGUGCCGCAGCAAACGCAAUAAGUAAUCCACCUGGGGGAGUACGUUCGCAAGAAUGAAACUCAAAUGAAUUGACGGGGGCCCGCACAAGCGGUGGAGCAUGUGGGUUUAAUUCGAUGCAACGCGAAAAAACUUACCUGGUCUUGACAUCCACGGAAGUUUUCAGAGAUGAGAAUGUGCCUUCGGGAACCGUGAGACAGGUGCUGCAUGGCUGUCGUCAGCUCGUGUUGUGAAAUGUUGGGUUAAGUCCCGCAACGAGCGCAACCCUUAUCCUUUGUUGCCAGCGGUCCGGCCGGGAACUCAAAGGAGACUGCCAGUGAUAAACUGGAGGAAGGUGGGGAUGACGUCAAGUCAUCAUGGCCCUUACGACCAGGGCUACACACGUGCUACAAUGGCGCAUACAAAGAGAAGCGACCUCGCGAGAGCAAGCGGACCUCAUAAAGUGCGUCGUAGUCCGGAUUGGAGUCUGCAACUCGACUCCAUGAAGUCGGAAUCGCUAGUAAUCGUGGAUCAGAAUGCCACGGUGAAUACGUUCCCGGGCCUUGCACACACCGCCCGUC